UUGGGCACUGUCUCAACGAGAGACUCGGUGAAAUCAUAGUACCUGUGAAGAUGCAGGUUACCCGCGACAGGACGGAAAGACCCCGUGGAGCUUUACUGUAGCCUGAUAUUGAAAUUCGGCACAGCUUGUACAGGAUAGGUAGGAGCCUUUGAAACGUGAGCGCUAGCUUACGUGGAGGCGCUGGUGGGAUACUACCCUAGCUGUGUUGGCUUUCUAACCCGCACCACUUAUCGUGGUGGGAGACAGUGUCAGGCGGGCAGUUUGACUGGGGCGGUCGCCUCCUAAAAGGUAACGGAGGCGCUCAAAGGUUCCCUCAGAAUGGUUGGAAAUCAUUCAUAGAGUGUAAAGGCAUAAGGGAGCUUGACUGCGAGACCUACAAGUCGAGCAGGGUCGAAAGACGGACUUAGUGAUCCGGUGGUUCCGCAUGGAAGGGCCAUCGCUCAACGGAUAAAAGCUACCCCGGGGAUAACAGGCUUAUCUCCCCCAAGAGUUCACAUCGACGGGGAGGUUUGGCACCUCGAUGUCGGCUCAUCGCAUCCUGGGGCUGUAGUCGGUCCCAAGGGUUGGGCUGUUCGCCCAUUAAAGCGGUACGCGAGCUGGGUUCAGAACGUCGUGAGACAGUU
rnacentral:rRNA from 1 species